UACGGAGGGCGCAAGCGUUGUUCGGAAUCACUGGGCGUAAAGCGCGUGUAGGCGGCUUGGCAAGUCGGGUGUGAAAUCCCGAGGCUCAACCUCGGAACUGCACUCGAAACUGCCUGGCUCGAGUCCCGGAGAGGGUGGCGGAAUUCCCGGUGUAGGGGUGAAAUCCGUAGAGAUCGGGAGGAACACCAGUGGCGAAGGCGGCCACCUGGACGGUGACUGACGAUGAGACGCGAAAGCGUGGGGAGCAAACAGG
rnacentral:rRNA from 1 species